CAAACCAAAGCUGGCGACCGGCGCACGGGUGAGUAACACGUAUCCAACCUGCCUCAUACUCGGGGAUAGCCUUUCGAAAGAAAGAUUAAUAUCCGAUAGCAUAUAUUUCCCGCAUGGGUUUUAUAUUAAAGAAAUUCGGUAUGAGAUGGGGACGCGUUCCAUUAGUUUGUUGGGGGGGUAACGGCCCACCAAGACUACGAUGGAUAGGGGUUCUGAGAGGAAGGUCCCCCACAUUGGAACUGAGACACGGUCCAA
rnacentral:rRNA from 1 species